CUACGGGGUGCUGCAGUGGGGAAUCUUGAACAAUGGGCGCAAGCCUGAUCCAGCCAUGCCGCGUGAGUGAAGAAGGCCUUAGGGUCGUAAAGCUCUUUCGCCAGAGAUGAUAUGACAGUAUCUGGUAAAGAAACCCCGGCUAACUCCGUGCCAGCAGCCGCGGUAAUACGGAGGGGGUUAGCGUUGUUCGGAAUUACUGGGCGUAAAGCGCGCGUAGGCGGAUUAGUCAGUCAGAGGUGAAAUCCCAGGGCUCAACCCUGGAACUGCCUUUGAUACUGCUAGUCUUGAGUUCGAGAGAGGUGAGUGGAAUUCCGAGUGUAGAGGUGAAAUUCGUAGAUAUUCGGAGGAACACCAGUGGCGAAGGCGGCUCACUGGCUCGAUACUGACGCUGAGGUGCGAAAGUGUGGGGAGCAAACAGGAUUAGAUACCCCUGUAGUC
rnacentral:rRNA from 1 species